CCUACGGGAGGCAGCAGUAGGGAAUCUUGCGCGAUGGGCGAAAGCCUGACGCAGCAAUGCCGCGUGCGGGACGAAGGCCCUAGGGUCGUAAACCGCUUUCAGUAGGGACGAAAAUGACGGUACCUGCAGAAGAAGCUCCGGCCAACUACGUGCCAGCAGCCGCGGUAAU
rnacentral:rRNA from 1 species